GUGAAUCUUGUAUGUUCCAUUACGGUUUUCACUCCAGCGAUGAUACUCGCUUGAUGGUGAGUUUCAAAAAGUUUGUCAGAGCAGAGGUCACCUCCAGUCCUCAGUGAGGAUUAGGGAAGAGAGACAGCCAGAGAAAGGUUUCACCUGUCUUUCUGCUCUCACACAGCAGGUUAUAUAACAUCUAACUGCCCCAUUGUAAGUUGCCUGGAAUUUCUCAUGAGGAAGCUGACAUUCCUGGCAGGCAGGGAGCUUUGAAGUGGGCAUUGUGUGAAAGGGCUCCGGUUACAAGGCCGAGCCCUGAGAAAGAGGAUCCGCCUGGCGAUGGAGAACAGCACUGGCUCACGGGUUAUUCAGAAGUCCAGCACACUACACACUCUGUGCCCUGCUCACAGCUGUAACGAGACUCUGUAUUUGGAGGGUAAGAACGACUGAAUGGCCAGAGCUUUGAAGUUGAGUGGCACCAGUGGAUUGAAACAGAAGAUGAGAAGACUUUUCCCUCGUAUCUGUCUGUGUUUCAUACGCAUACAUAAACAUACAUCGGGUCAAAGGGGGUAUAGUGUUAUUAAGUGUGUAUGUACACAUGCUUUUGUGUAUAUG